rnacentral:lncRNA from 1 species
GCAUGCCUCCUGUUUGUCAAAUCGCGUCCGUGAUUCACCCACUGGAAAAUUCCAGGCAAACCAAAAGUAAAAUUUCACUAUGUCAAUACGGAUGUGUAUAUAUCUAUAUGUACACGAAAGUUGAUGAAAGGAGCCGUGAGGUUGGAAGUGGGAAUUACUUACAUCUCCUACUGAGUAAUCUAUAGAUACAAAUAAACAGAAUAUCGCUGCUAAAAUGAUGAUGAUCUGCAUUUUGAUUGAAGCUAGUUAUGGGAAGAUAAUUAACCUGAGUAAAUUUCUUCACAGCUCAUGCUUGUCAUCAAUUUAUAGGUAAAAUGUAGGCAGUUUGGUCAUAUACG